rnacentral:lncRNA from 1 species
UAUUUAAAACGCCUUCAACACAUGGACAUUUGUGGGACAAUACAAUCUUAGGAAAACUUAUCCGUGGACAAUGAAAUGGAAAUCAAUUGACAACCCCAAAAUGAAAAAGAACAUGCACUUUGAUUGUACAAUUCUACAUCAAACAUGUAAUAAAAACUAUAUCUCUAGAUGCAAGUGCAACUAUCAUACAACAAUUUCAAAAUGUUGACUAAAGCACGGUGAUGAAGACAAAUAAAAAUUCACAAAAUUAUACCUUCACUUUAAGCAAAAUCAUACCCUACAUGAUUGAAGCACUCAAGUGUUCAAAUUCCCGUGAAGUGAAUUUUCUGACCCAUUCUCAUGCUUCGCCACCUCCUAAUCCCCACAACAACAAAGCCGAAACCCAGCAAUCAAGCAACAAACACCAUUAAUCCAAACUGGGUCAAGACAUCAGCCAUCAAAACUUCAAAGUAGAGGAGCUUAAAAUAGAGACACAAGAGUUGGCCGAAUGGCAUUUGCUGCCAUGUGAAACAAAACCAAGGACACCAAGAAUGGAUAAAAUUUCGCUAAAGAUAGCGGAGCGGGCCCGGCAAAAAAAGCAAGAAAGCAACAAUAGAGCAACAAAAAGACAGGUGAUGCAAGGGACAGAGAAGGCAAAGGAAGAGAAUAGGGCACCUUCAAGGGGAGUAGGGAAUGAAAGCGUGAGAAGCAGCCGUAGCCGCGACGCAGCGACUGGCGCAGGAAACCGUCCACAAGCCAGUGAUGGGCAACGGCAAGGUCGCGAUCAGACAGUGACCUUAGGACAGAGGGGGCACGGAACGGCGUUGAUGAUGCGCAAAAGCGACAUCGAGCCAGGAGCAGUGUAGUUCUGCCUGCCUCCCUGCCUGCUUGCCUGCACUGCCCACAAAGAGCAAUCCCUGCGAGGGACGUAGAUUUCCUCCACUCACCACACAAGCGCCAGGCAGCAAGACAACAAACGCCGCAACGCGAAUGCGUGGCGCUCGUGCGCGG